GGGGUUGUGGCUCAGUGGUAGAGUGCUGCCUAGCAUGUGUGAGGCAUGAGGUUCAAUUCUCAGCACCG
rnacentral:tRNA from 1 species